AAGAACAAUGUAGGUAAGGGAAGUUGGCAAGCCGUAUCUGUAACUUCAGAAUAAGGAUUGGCUCUAAGGGCUGGGUUGGUUGAGCUGGGUUGCGAAGUGGGGUUAUGUGCAAGCCACAGCUGGAAGAGGUACCUACCCCGCCUCCCAGGGGGGUGGUAGUGACUCUGGACACAAGCCAGGCCCUUCCUGUGAAUCGCCCCAUCUGCGGUGGGCAUUGCCCACCUCUCCUCCUCCAUGGGGAUGGGGGGGUUGGUGUCCUGCCUCAGCCAGUGCCUAGCAGCUGACUUUGAAUUGUCAUGGACCAGGGGAAUCUGACUGUUUAAUUAAAACAAAGCAUCGUGAAGGCAGUUGUUGAUGUAAUGUGAUUUCUGCCCAGUGCUAUGAAUGUCAAAGUGAAGAAAUUCAAUGAAGCACAGGUAAAGGGCAGGAGUAACUAUGACUCUCUUAAGAAGGCAUCUCCUUUAAGGGCAACACUCUGGUUACAUGGUCAUAGCAGGUUUGUGCCAGGUAUCUCCACGUGGUUCUCACUGGGUGCCACAGGCCCAGAUAUGUCGGUAGCUUGAUCCUGGCACAAUACUGCUGGUGCUUCCUUGCUAUUGAGUGCCUUGCAAACAUUUGACAGCCCCCAUCACUUCAUUGCAAAAAACACAAUGUCCUCAAUGGACGAGCAGCUAGACAGCCCCACUACUGGCCAAAACUGUUCACCACACAGUUAUCAGAUGGUGUCUGUGCCGACCUGUGGCCCCAUGGGUCUGGUGGUACAGGAAAGGCCAGCUCACAGCCGUGCCAGACAGGGGGGCCUUGCUUAUGAGGCCCCCACACUGAUGGCAGCCGGUGCCCCACGGUGGCCACCUGCAGACCCAGGACACGGGCCUUGAAGCCCACUCCCACCCCAGAGAGUUCCCACUCAGAGGCCACUAGGUCAGCGCCAUCCAGGGAGGGCCAUGGCCUUGGUUGUGAGUGCCCCUCGGUGCAGAGGCCCGAGGCUGAUACCACCACCCUUGGUGAGAGUGCGCCCACCAGGGAGGGUGAACCACCCUCCGCCAGGGUUUUCCUGGUGAGGCUGCCUGAUUUGCAGGGCCCAUGCGGACCUCCGUGUCUGAUUUGCAGGGACCAUGCAGGUAAACCCUCUGUGCUGGCUCUCCACUGUGCGGCGGACCAUGCAUGGGCAGAUGUGCAAUACCAGUGCACCCAUUGCAACAGGGUCAGUGCUAACAAGCACAGCAUCCUCUACCACAUCCCACGUUGCCAGGGGAGGAUGCUGGAGUGGACCAGGAAGGACUGGGCUUGUCCUGAGUUCCCUGCCUCCUUCAAUACAAAAGUAGGCCUAUCACAGUAAAAAAUGGCAUGCACAUAUGGUAACACAUAAUGCGGAACGGGUUGCAGAUAGCCUGUCGAGAACCGGUUUAAGGCCCCGGACCAGAUGCAGGUGCUGGUCAGUGGAAGAAGAGGAAACUCUCACCAAUCUUGACAUGAUGUUUCCUCACACCCAGAACAUCAACCAGCUGAUUGCUGCUGAGAUGGUGUCAAAGACACCUAAGCAGAUCAGUGACAAAUGGAGGUUGCUCACUCUGUGUCCUGAGCAGACCACAUCAGGUGGUGAGGCUGAAUCUGCCUCCACGGUGGAGGUGGAGUCCGUGACUCUGGAGACAGAAACCCAAAGCCCAGUUGAACCACCUAAGAAAAUCAAGAAGUUCCUGGCCCAGAGGGCACGCCAGUGGCUGAAGAGGGGGCAGGGUCUGUCAGAGAAGGUACGGGAAGUCUUGGACACAUGGGUGGAGGGUCAACCUGGGAUUUGUGCCUGGGUCGACUCUGUCUCCCUUGAUGUUUUGACUUCAUUCUUGGGGGUGCUGCCAGGACCGCAGAGGGCUCCAAGCAAGAACGGGCCCAAGGAGAGUGGCAAACCUAUAUCCUGGAUGAACAAAUGUGCCAUCAAACAGGGCACAUUCCUUCAGUACCAGUACCUGUUUGGUACCGACAGGAAGCUUCUGGCAGCCAUCAUCCUGUGCCAGAGUGUAAUCAGUGCACCCUCCCACUCGAGAAGGUCUUCCAGGCCUACCAAGUAAAAUGGGAGGCUGAGCCACCUUUUGAGUGUCUCGGAUGGUUUGGGGUCCAAAGAGAUGUGGAUAACCUUGCAUUCAAGGCCUUGAUCACUCUGGAGGAGGUUGUCAAGCUCAUGAUGGCAAUGACCAACAACUUGUCUCCAGGUCAGGAUAAGCUCACCCUGAAAGAUCUGUGCCACAUGGACCCUGAGGGAGAUGCUCUUGCUGAACUGUUCAGCCUGUGGCUGAUCACUGCUGUGUCCUGGACAGACUUAAGGAGUGUUGGUCCAUGCUGAUACCAAAGGCGGUGGACUUUGAGAAGGUGAGGCAGCUGGGCAACUGGUGCCCCAUCACUAUCAGGUCCAUUGUGUUAUGGCUAUUCUCAUGAGUGCUACCCACACGGCUCACUGCAGCACACCCCAUCAGCCCCCACCAGUGGGGGUUCAUCUCAGCACCUGGGCAUGCUGAAAACCUGAAGGUGCUUGAGUUCAUCUUGCACAAGAUGAAGUGAGACAGGUGGCUGCUGGGGGUAGUAUUAGUGGAUAUAGCAAAGCUUUUGACUUGGUGUCACACAAUCACAAUUCCUGGGUCCUAAAGGCCAGAGGGAUGGACCAACACAUCAUGAAUCUCAAAGAAGAUUCAUACCAGAAGGUUACUAUGAGAGUACAAGUGUUUAGUGGUUCCACCCCGCCCAUCAGCAUCAAAGCUGGGGUCAAGCAAGGUGAUCCAAUGUUUCCUCAUGUUGUUCAACAUUGCAAUGGAUCCCUUGAUAGCCAAACUCAAGACAGUUGGGCAGGGAGUGAAAGCCAGGAAUGCUUCCUUGACCACCCUGGCAUUCAUGGAUAAUCUCAUCCUGCUGAGUGACUCUUGGAAGGGCAUACAACACAACAUCAGAAUCCUAGAAGAUUUCUGCAACCUCAUGAGCCUACAAGUGCAACCCACAAAAUGUCAGGGAUUCUUUUUGAAUCCGACAUGCAACUCCUAUACGGUAAACACCUGCGAGGCUUGGAAGAUUGUUGGCCAUGCAAUCAUGAUGAUAGGAAGAGGUGAGUCACCACAACAUCUAGGCUUGAAUGUCAGUCCUUGGGUUGGGAUUGGCAAACAUGAUUUGGGUACGCAACUAAGCUCCUGGCUUGAGACGAUAGGGACUGCCCAGCUCAAACCAAAGCAGAAGCUCUCUUUGCUGGUGCACUAUGCCAUUCCCAGGCUGCAAUAUCAGGCCGAUUGUGUGAACACUGGUCAGGUGGCCUUGGAGGCUCUGGAUUGGUUCAGCCUACCUGCCUGUACCUCGGACAGCCUCCUCCACUCCUGCCACUGGGAUGAGGGCCUUGGGCGCCACACCUGGCAAAAGCCAUUCUGGCAGUGCAAGUGAGGAGGCUGAUUCACGUAGCUGUCUCAUCUGAUGAAGUCACACGGAAAGUAUCUUACACAUGUGGGAUAAGUGAUGAAGUGGAACGGCUCUGGUUGGCAGGUGGGGGAGACACGUCCAAUGUCCUGAGGUUUGAGAAUCCUGAUGCCCUGAAGUCUCCAGAGAUACAAGGCCCCCAUGAGGCUGCCCAGUAGGCAUCACACCUCAUCCUGGCACAGGUGAUCCCCCAGCCCUCCAACUGGAGAGCUGAAGAACACUUCAAAUGGGCCCAACUCAGCUUUCAGGGCCAGGGGGUGGAGCUGUUCCACAAUGAUUGAGUCAGCAAUGGCUGGAACAGCAGUUGGGGAUGAUUGAUGGAGUGUCUCCAGAUCAUGGCCUUAAAACUGCAUUUGAACAUUUAUCCCCACAGGGAGUUUCUUGGGAGAGUCCAGACAGGUACCAAUGUAGGUUGCUGGCACUGUGCUUACCCUCAAGGGACCUUAGGGCAUAUCCUGGGCAUAUGUCUUACUGUGCAGGAGGUGUGGAUACUCUGGCACAACAAGCUGUGUAAUAUCCUGGCAGUUGAGGGUAAAAAGCGUGAUUGGACAGUGUACUAUGAGCUGCACCUGCACAACGCAGCUAGGGAACUGUGAAAGCCUGACCACAUCUUUGUCUGAGAUGGUACUGCCCUGGUGGUCAAUGUCACUGUGCAGUAUGAAGAGGGACCCGCUUCCCUCCAUCCCUCUGCUGCAGAAAAGGCCACAAAAUACCUGGACCUGACCGAACAAAUACAGAAGCUCACGGGGGCUGAGCAGGUCACCUACUUUGACUUCCCUCUUGGAGCCAGAGGAAAUUGGCACACUGACAACUGGUGAGUACUGUCUGAGCUGGGGUUGUCCCAUUCCCAGAAAGAGCGGGUCACAUGGCUCCUGUCAUGGUGGGCCCUGCUAGGGUCAGUGGACAUAGUUAACAUCUUUGUGUCUAAGCACAGGCAGGAAAACCUAUCUGAUGACGCACUGCACCCUACCUGAAUAGUUGUGACAUGCAUUGAAUCUCUCUCUUGGGACCCCAAAGAUAAAAAAAUAAAAUAAAAUAAAAUAAAAUAAAUACAGUUAUUUUUACAUGUGUUACUGUUCAUCCCUUUGGUUUCACCUCCAAGUUGCGAUCCCCCAUCUCCCCUGUUCUGUCUUCCUGAAUGGCUGGAGAUGUCAAGGCUUGGUCACCUACAGGGUCAAGUGUUCCAGCCCUGGGUAGGACUCGGUGGCCAGGCUUUUCUGGGCAUUGGAUACUGCCUGGGGCAACUGGGAGGGAUUCAUCCUGACCAUUGCUGGGCUAGGUGUGGCACUGCCUAUCCUCCCAUACUGUCAAGUGCCCUGCUACCACUUGGGUAGCUGUCCUCACUCCUUUGACCCUCCUAGUACCCUCCACCACUUCACUUUUGCUAUCCCUCUGUGGCCAGUGAUGUCACGGUUGGUGCAUCCUCAGUCACCUCCAGAGCCAAGUGCCUUGGCUGCGGGUAGGACCUGGCACCUGCCCAGGGUGCCAGACACCACCUGCAGCAAGUGGAAGGGAUCUUUCCUGACUGUUACCAGACUAGGGAUGAUGCUGACUAGCCCGCCAUAUAGUCAAGCACUCCACUACUGCUCAAGUUAGUGGCUUAUGCUCCUUCAUCCCACCUAGUGUCCUCCACCUCUGUGCUAAGCUGUCCCUAUCUAGAGGAUGAUUAGGCAAGAGGGGCUUGCCCCUCUGCCUAGGAUGGUGGCUUGGAGUAUCCAAUGACUUCUGGCCACCCCUGUCUUGUACCGCUAGAGGGGGACCACAGUGACCAGUGGAAGCCAAACUUGACAGUUAGCCAGUUGGGUGCAACAUCCCGGCUGCAGUCCCAAAGGGCCAAUGACCAGGUAAGGGGGGGGGGGNNNNNNNNNNNNNNNNNNNNNNNNNNNNNNNNNNNNNNNNNNNNNNNNNNNNNNNNNNNNNNNNNNNNNNNNNNNNNNNNNNNNNNNNNNNNNNNNNNNNNNNNNNNNGGGGGGGGGGGCUGCCCCACCUCCGACUAUUGUGGCCUGGAGUAGUGAAUGACUUCUGGCCACCCCCCACCUUGAACCACUAGAGCAGAGCCUCAGUGACCGGUGCAAGCCAAACUUGACAGUUAGUCAGUCAGGUGCAACAUCCCAGCUGCAGGCCCUCUGGGGCCAGCAAUCAGGCAAGGAGGGCUCAACCUCCUUCCAACAACAGCAGCCUGGAGUAGUGAGAGACUUCUGGCCAUCCCAGUCUUGUGCUGCUAGACGGGAACCUUGGUGACCGGUGCAAGUCAAACUUGAUGGUUAGUCAGUUGGGUGCAACAUUCUGGCUGCAUGCCCACUGAGGCCAUUUCCAAAGGGCAUGUGGCAUGUGUAUUGUGUUGGGAGAGAUGACACCCUGAGAAUGGCACAAAACAGACUGAAGGGAGACACUUUGCUAAAAGUGUUUCUGGCUACUCCUAGACUUGGAGUGGUGCUGCCUCAUCUGACAUACAGUCAAGCACCCUACUGCUCCCUUUGGGCAGCAGAAUUCAUUCCAACCUCUUACUCACCCAAGUCUGCACUUUGUUCCACUAUCCUGUGUUUCCGAGUCACCUCACUGUCUCCCUCUGCACUGUGUUUCUCUCGUGGUUCAGUCUCAACAUGAUUACCUCCCAUGCUUCCAAUCAGGGCAGCUUCUCAUAUGAUGGAUUGCUGGUGCGUGUCAGUCAUCAUGAGACCACCGGACCCUCCAGUGAUCACUAUAGUCAUAGCUGCGUUGCAUGGGGCAUGCUGAGCCACUUAACCAAACAGCUCUAAAUAACCCCAAAGAGGUGCCCUUUGGGGUUCGGUAAAUAGCCAAAUGCCUUAUCAUCUAAUUAGUGAUGCACAUGAGUGGAUGAAUGAGAUUCCCACUGUCCCUACCUACUAUCUAGUGAAACCACAGCCNNNNNNNNNNNNNNNNNNNNNNNNNNNNNNNNNNNNNNNNNNNNNNNNNNNNNNNNNNNNNNNNNNNNNNNNNNNNNNNNNNNNNNNNNNNNNNNNNNNNNNNNNNNNNNNNNNNNNNNNNNNNNNNNNNNNNNNCACUGUGAAGAGACAUGAGAGGUGGAGAAUAAGUGGGAGGCCCCUGGUAAAAUACUACUACUCUUAUAUUUUUUUUCACUUACUUGGUGAGGCAGGGGGCAGCCCUGAGGGGCUCUCGCUUCUGGCUCCAAGUGCCUGGUGCAUGCUGGGCAUGACCCACUCCAGGGACAGCAUCAGGUGGGGAGUUUGACUGGGGAAGUAAACCUGUCAAACCAUAACACAGGUGUCCUAAGGCGAGCUCAGGGAGGACAGAAACCUCCCAUGGAGCAGAAGAGCAAAAGCUCACUUGAUCUUGAUUUUCAGCAUGAAUACAGACCAUGACAGUGGGGCCUCAUGAUCCUUGUGAGUUUUUGAAUUUUAAGCAGGAGGUGUCAGAAAAGUUACCACAGGGAUAACUGGCUCGUGGCAGCCAAACAUUCAUAGAGACAUUGCUUUUUGAUCCUUUGAUGUGGGCUCUUCAUAUCAUUGUGAAGCAGAAUUCACCAAGCGUUGGAUUGUUCACUCACUAAUAGGGAACGUGAGCUGGGUUUAGAUGGUCAUGAAACAGGUUAGUUUUACCCUACUGAUGAUGAGUUGUUGCAAUAGUAAUCCUGCUCAGUACGAGAGGAACCACAGGUUCAGACAUUUGGUAUAUAUGCUUGGCUGAGGAGCUACCAUCUGUGGGAUUAUGACUGAACACCUCUGAGUCAAAAUUCCCCCCUAAACAUAAUGAUACCACAGCACCGUGGAGCCUCAGUUGGCCCCAGAUAGCCAGCCACCCCCAGCCUGGGGGCAGGCCCCGGUGUGGAGAGCCGUUCAUGGCAGGACCAGAAAGCAAUCAGAAGCGAGUUGUCUCUCACCCAAAGCACACUGCAUGUUCGUGGGGAACCUGGUGCUAAAUCAUUUUUAGACAACCUGAUUCUGGGUCAGGGUUUCAUAUAUAGCAGAGCAGCUACCUUGCUGUGAUCUAUUGAAAGUUAGCCCUUGACACAAGCUUU
rnacentral:ncRNA from 1 species